GAACACGACGGAGAGAGGGUCGAGGCAGAGGAGGCCCCUUCCAUGAUUUCCCAUUCACUACGAAUCUUCACCAGUGCUUUCGGUGUUCUAUCUCUCAUCUCUUCUCUCUUUCUUUUCUCGUUCACUUUCUUGUUCUUCCUUUCAUGAGAUCCUUGGUCCUCCUAGGGUUUUGAACAAAUGCCGAGUGUUUCUGACCUAGGGUUUCGAUUCUUGCUUCACUUGUUUUUUUGAGUUCCAGUGAAAAUUAACUGUUUCUUGUUCCAGUGGGGAUUUUCAUCGAUUCUUGGAGGGUUUUAGCUUGUGGGGUUUUGAUUCAUUGUUAGUUUCUUCUAUUUCUUGAUUCGUAUUAUCAUUAAUAUUUUUCUGUUUUAGUUUCAAAAACUGAAACUAAGGGAAGUGACAGAAGGGCGGUAACUUAACCGAGUAGAUGAUGAAGAAAGAGAGGAUCUUGGUGCAGCACCAAUGGACAUAACGCCUUGCUUUAACCAAAUAUGAAUGAAACUUCUAAUCAAAUGGAGGGCAAAGGGUGAAGGAAGUAGGGACCAUGGUGGCUUAGAUGCAUGGGAAGGACUCUGAUGGAACUGAUGAUGAGAGGAGAGGAUCAGGACAAUCAGGGUUGUAAUGGUGGAAAGAGAUGAUGGGAAGGAAGUAAGGAAUAGAAUAUUGUAAGAAGAUAUAUAAGAUAUAUGAAAAUUUCAUUUGUUUA